rnacentral:rRNA from 1 species
CAGUCGUGAGGAAGGUAGUGUAGUUAAUAGCUGCAUUAUUUGACGUUAGCGACAGAAGAAGCACCGGCUAACUCCGUGCCAGCAGCCGCGGUAAUACGGAGGGUGCGAGCGUUAAUCGGAAUUACUGGGCGUAAAGCGCAUGCAGGUGGUUUGUUAAGUCAGAUGUGAAAGACCCGGGGCUCAACCUCGGAAUAGCAUUUGAAACUGGCAGACUAGAGUACUGUAGAGGGGGGUAGGAAUUUCAGGUGUAGCGGUGAAAUGCGUAGAGAUCUGAAGGAAUACCGGUGGCGAAGGCGGCCCCCUGGACAGAUACUGACACUCAGAUGCGAAAGCGUGGGGAGCAAACAGGAUUAGAUACCCUGGUAG